rnacentral:rRNA from 1 species
AGUUCGGACUGGAGUCUGCAACCCGACUCCACGAAGUUGGAUUCGCUAGUAAUCGCGCAUCAGCCAUGGCGCGGUGAAUACGUUCCCGGGCCUUGUACACACCGCCCGUCAAGCCAUGGGAGCCGGGGGCGCCUGAAGUCCGGGACCGCGAGGACCGGCCUAGGGCGAAACUGGUAACUGGGCUAAGUCGUAACAAGGUAAC